AUUGAACGCUGGCGGCAGGCCUAACACAUGCAAGUCGAACGGCAGCGGGGGGUAGCUUGCUACCCCGCCGGCGAGUGGCGGACGGGUGAGUAAUGCCUGGGGAGCUGCCCAAUCGAGGGGGAUACCAGUUGGAAACGACUGCUAAUACCGCAUACGCCCUGAGGGGGAAAGGUGGGGAUCUUCGGACCUACCGCGAUUGGAUGCACCCAGGUGGGAUUAGCUAGUUGGUGAGGUAACGGCUCACCAAGGCGACGAUCUCUAGCUGGUCUGAGAGGAUGACCAGCCACACUGGAACGGAGACACGGUCCAGACUCCUACGGGAGGCAGCAGUGGGGAAUAUUGCACAAUGGGGGAAACCCUGAUGCAGCCAUGCCGCGUGUGUGAAGAAGGCCUUCGGGUUGUAAAGCACUUUCAGCGAGGAGGAAAGGGGUGAUGCUAAUACCAUCAUUCUGUGACGUUACUCGCAGAAGAAGCACCGGCUAACUCCGUGCCAGCCGCCGCCGUAAUAC
rnacentral:rRNA from 1 species